GAUGAACGCUGGCGGCGUGCCUAAUACAUGCAAGUCGAGCGAACAGACGAGGAGCUUGCUCCUCUGACGUUAGCGGCGGACGGGUGAGUAACACGUGGAUAACCUACCUAUAAGACUGGGAUAACUUCGGGAAACCGGAGCUAAUACCGGAUAAUAUAUUGAACCGCAUGGUUCAAUAGUGAAAGACGGUUUUGCUGUCACUUAUAGAUGGAUCCGCGCCGCAUUAGCUAGUUGGUAAGGUAACGGCUUACCAAGGCGACGAUGCGUAGCCGACCUGAGAGGGUGAUCGGCCACACUGGAACUGAGACACGGUCCAGACUCCUACGGGAGGCAGCAGUAGGGAAUCUUCCCAAUGGGCGAAAGCCUGACGGAGCAACGCCGCGUGAGUGAUGAAGGUCUUCGGAUCGUAAAACUCUGUUAUUAGGGAAGAACAAAUGUGUAAGUAACUAUGCACGUCUUGACGGUACCUAAUCAGAAAGCCACGGCUAACUACGUG
rnacentral:rRNA from 1 species